UACGUAGGGGGCUAGCGUUGCUCGGAAUCACUGGGCGUAAAGGGUGCGUAGGCGGGUCUUUUAAGUCAGGGGUGAAAUCCUGGAGCUCAACUCCAGAACUGCCUUUGAUACUGAAGAUCUUGAGUUCGGGAGAGGUGAGUGGAACUGCGAGUGUAGAGGUGAAAUUCGUAGAUAUUCGCAAGAACACCAGUGGCGAAGGCGGCUCACUGGCCCGAUACUGACGCUGAGGCACGAAAGCGUGGGGAGCAAACAGG
rnacentral:rRNA from 1 species